GAGCUCACUGGUGACGUAGAUCUCAUGUGACCAGGAGUCGACGUGUGCAGAAGUCCUGGUAGUCUGGUCCUUGUUCCCGUCUGGAUACCAGCUUCCUUCAGCAGUGCAGGCGGUGGUCCCUGAGGCUAGUGCAAGGAGUGAAACUUGCGGGAAUUUUGCAGGUCUGUUGUUUCUAGCAAGACCCAAAGCUAGAAAAGGAGGAGGAAGAAACUGACCCGAUCAGUGCCAGAAGUUAUUGUAUUCCAAGAAGAAUAAGCAAAAAAAUAAAAGAAGGAAGGAAGGA
rnacentral:lncRNA from 1 species